GGAUAUUAAAUGUUGUUGAUUUUGUGAAUUUAUUUGUGAAUUUAAUUUGAAAACACUAGAUCCAUGGAUCUGGACCCGCGGAUCCGCGGAUUUGACGGAUCUGGAUCUGGAUCCAAAAUUUUCAGAUCCGCGGAUCUGGAUCCGGAUCUGGAUCUGGUAUAUGAAAACGGAUCUGGAUCUGGUAUUGGCCAGACCCGGUCCAGAUCCGGCCCGUU
rnacentral:lncRNA from 1 species